GUGUUAGGUAUACUUUUGGUGUAUUUUAUUUAUUGUAGUUUUAUUAAAUGUAUUUAUUGUGCAAAAAGUCUGAAGCAUCUAUAAUGUCAGUGGAUAAUUAAAAACAACCGAGAUGUAAACUUAAAGGAAUAGUUCACUCAAAAACAAAAAUACUGUCAUCAUUUACUCAUCAUUGAAUAGCUCUAAAUCUGGAUGAAGGAAGAUAUUUUGACAAAGUUAGUAACCAGGCUCUUUUGGGUCACCACUGACUUCAAUAGUAGGAAAGAAAUACUAUGGAAGUCAAUGGUGAAACAAAGCAGCCAACACAUUUUCUUCUAAAUAUCUUCCUUUGUGUUCGGCAGGACAAAGAAAUUCAUACAGACUUUAAACUACUUAAAGUUUGUCUCACUCCAGCCAUUCUCUGGAUCAUGUUGCUGUUUUUUGAUGGACAAUACUUCGCCUGCGCAAAGACUUCAUGGGAAGGACUGACGGUUCACACGGAUAUAACUGCUUCAACAACCUGGUGUCAGCCUUUAGUCACAGCUGACAACACCACAGAAAAGCAAAUGGCAUUUUUUAGCUAUCGAAAUAAUUCUCAGAUAGUGGGGCUGUGCAUACUGCUUCUGAUGUCAAUGCCUCUGAUUUGGAUGGGAAUUAGGAAAUGGCAAUACACACAAAAAAGAAACAAAGAACUUGAUAAUGAACAAAUAGAAAUGGUGGAUUUGAGCCCUUCGCCCCCUCCUGACAGUGCUUCUACAAUUGUGGAUCACAGUAGAGAUGAUUUUUAGUACUGGACAUGACUUUAUUUUUAUAGUAAAAAAUUUUUUUCUCGAUUCAAAACCUCAUAUUUAAAAUUAAUAUAAUUAAAUACAGUAUGAAUAAAUGGGAAAACGUUUUAUUUUUUUAUACUUGUAACAUAGCUAAAAUUAGUAUUUGUGCAACAAAAUCAAUCAACUUUUUGUUACAAACUGCUGACUCUAACCAUAUUUUACAAUUUUUUAAUGAAACUGUGUCAUAUUGCAUGUUUUUACUUUAGCAACUGUCAUGUAGAGAAACAAACCACUUCCUGUCAUUUUCAAUAAGGUCAUACUUAAUUCUGUUUUUGAACUACUUUCACUUUAAAUUAUAUAAAAUCUUUAUAUAGUCUUUCAAUUAAAUGGCAAAAUAAAAUAAAAAAACAACCACGUUACUUAACUGUAUACUGAGUCAUAAUCUGAUAAAAAAAUUAGGGAACUUCAUGAACUGGUGACUUCUUGAACUUAAAGCAAACACAAAUCCUACAGUUUUCUCAGGAAUUAAAUCCAACUAUCAGUUAAUACAUAAUUUAUUCGCCCUUGUGUUGACUUGGCAAGUUUAAAACGGCAAGAGAUGAGUUAACAACAUUUUUCUUUUGAUUUGAUGCUUCAAUAUAGAAGAAAUAUUUUUUAACAGCUUGGUCCUUAUAUAAAACACAGCAUAUUACGUCCUCUGUAUAUCUUUCUUUCGUCACUCAGAUUGUAGUAUUUUGCCACUCAUUUAUAGUGCUAUCCAAGUGUCUAUUUUACAGUCUUUUGAAACACUAGAAAGUCAGAUUUCACAACCAGAGCUUAUCAAAAAGAGUUUACUAAGAAAGAUAUGGAGAUGUUAUGAAUUUCUCUUGCAUCACACAAAAGUCAGCAGUUUAGUUUUUAUACCUUUUGACAACACUGAAAAGCAAUUUUUUUUUUCGAUUUUUGUCAAAUGCUUUAAAAGGUCUUGCAAACAUGCUUUAAACAUGCUGGAUCUGAGGUGUGUGCACCUACUCGUAUAAAGUGUUGCCACCAAGCAGCAGGAACCGAAGAACUUGAAGAGUAACAAGUGGAAAUGGACGAUUCUGGUCAAAGGUUACUUAUCACUCAUGAAAGAUCUUCAUUAACGGAGGAUGUAGACAGAGUAGUUUUCAAUAAAAAUCAUUUAAACCAUCACUUAUUGUUCA